ACUCCUACGGGAGGCAGCAGUAGGGAAUAUUAGUAAUGGGCGAAAGCCUGAACUAGCAACGCCGCGUGAGCGAUGAAGGCCUUCGGGUUGUAAAGCUCUGUUUUAAGGGACGAAUGUUCAUGGUAGUAACUGGCUAUGAAAUGACGGUACCUUAAGAGGAAGCCCCGGCUAACUACGUGCCAGCAGCCGCGGUAAU
rnacentral:rRNA from 1 species